ACAAAAUUCAAGAGACACAGGGCUGACUGGAGCCCGGGCACAAGGCCCCGCGGACCGAGGAUCCCAGAGGAAGGGCCUGACCAAGCCCAGCACAUCUGCCUGCACGCGGGUUCGCGGGGCACCCAGACCCUCGCGGUGGACAGACAGGCGCGGGGGGGACUCCGUGCAGGGACACACCGGCCUCUGUCCUCACGCAGAAGCAGAUGCCCCAAGGCCUGAGGGGGACGCGCCCAGCUCCGGGGAGGCGCUUCAGGGCAAACCCACAGACGGCUGUGGACGGUCUGCUCAGAUGCGAAACAAUCAGGAAAGAAAGACGGCUUGGUGGCGCUUUUUAGGGGCAAGAGUCCGGUGACGUCUGCCUGCGCGGCCCGGCCGCCUCCGGCUGCCUGUGACAGGGGAGCGGGGGUCAGUCACGCCAGCAGGGGUGGCGCUUCCUGUCGGAGCAGAUAGGAGGCCGGGAGGGGAGAAGACAGGCCGAGUUCUCACCGAGAGAAAAGCCGCAGGCCUGGCGCCGGCUCCUGCAGGUUCUGAGAACCCUCAGGGAGACUCCGGGGCGUCACACGGCUCCGGCUACGGGGCCACCCCCACACGCAUGGGGCUGGCGGGUGGCGCCCGGCGCCCAUUGGCCAGAGCCCAUUCCACGCGGCGGGGGAGAGCGGGGCAGGUUCCCGGGCAGGGACGCGGCCGGCCAGCGCACCCAGCGCUCAAAACCAGCCCAUCAGUUCUGGAGAAAGGGCCAGAGCCUCCCUCGCCCCCACCCACCCUGAGCUCCGUCAACCCCGGGAGAGGGAGGGGUCUUCCCGGAGCUGGAAUGACUCCUCCGAGAUUCCUAUAGCAAGAAAAACCCCCGUGAGCCCCUUCUAUGGACGAGAGAGAGAAGCAGGAAGACAGCUGGGCCAGGACAUACCUCUUCGGGCCUGGAAGGCCACUGUCCCCAGCAGGGCACACUUGGGCCCCGGGGACGGCAGAUGAUCAGGGACAAAACUGCCCAGUGAUUCCUACUCCGCCAGAGGUUGGCAAGCAGGCUACAUGGCUCAUCCACAAAUUUUCCAAACUGUCGCACAUCUCCAAAAAUUUUUCCAACGUGGUUCUUGAGUAAAAACCUGCACGUAAGCGGACCCGCACGGUUCAAGCCCGUGUUGUUCAAGGGUCACCCGUACUAGGAUUCUGCAAGGUGUUACCGAUGGAGCAGUCUAGAUAAAGUAUACAAGAGAACGUCUCUGUUAUUCCUUAUGGUCGCGUCCAUCUACAAUUAUCUCAAAGAAAAAGAUGAUUAAAAAUAUACAAGGUGUGGAGUGCCCGGUGGCUCAGUCGAUCAAGCGUCUGACCCGUGCUUUCGGCUCAGGUCACGAUCACGGCUCGAGGGAUCGAGCCGCACGUCAAGCUCCGCGCUGACAGUGCGGAGCCCGCUUGGGAUUCUCUCUCUCCCUCUCUACAUAAAUAAACAUUAAAACAAUUAUUUUAAAUAAAAACAAAAAAAGCAAGCCGCCGCGUGACACUAGGAUGGCUACACUUUUUUAAAAGAGGGGCAGGACAAAGCGCUGGGGACGCGGUGAGAGAUCCGGGCCUCCGUGCACCGCUGGCGGGAAGGUGAAGGGCUGUGGCCACUGCAGGACAGUUAGGUGGUUUCUCACAAGGUUAAAUAAAGAAUUAGCCUCUGACCCGGCAAGCCCGGUCCUGGGAGUCCACUCAAGAUUACUGAAAACGUACGUCCAACACGAACACUUGCACACGAGUGUUCACACAGCAUGAUGCGCCGCAGCCGGCGCGGAGACAUCCCACACGCCCUCCCCCCAGAGGAGCGGACCGGCAGGUGCACGGCCUGGACCCGCGCUCCGCCUCACAAGGAGCGAAGCCUGGACGCGCACGACGCUCAGGGAGAAGUCCACACCGAGGGCCCCACGCCUGCUGUGUGACUCUGUUUCAAUGAAACGCCCAGAAGAGGCGAAUCCACAGCCAGGAAGCGGAGUGGUUGCUGGGUGUGGGGGGAGGGGAGUGAGGGCGCCCGAGUUUCUUUCUGCAGUGACGAGAAUACUCUAGAAGGUGAUAAUAGCGAUGGUUGCAUACACUAAAAACCAGCGAACCGUACUCUUACAAAAGGUGCGAUUUCUGUUACAUGAAUUAUAUCUCAAUAAAACUAUUAUUAAGAAAUUCUAAAAAAAAAAAAGUGAAAUGAACCGUUGGCUGAAAACCCAAAC